UGGAAGCGGAGCUCACGCCAAUCGAUGACUGUUUACUAGCAUCGGCUAUUGUGGAAAUUCCCGAUUAUGGGAACAUGGUUAUGCCGCUGGUGGCAGAUUUGCUCGUCUUUAAGUCCAGGGAUCAUGUCAAUCGAUCUAGUCGCUUCGCGUCGUUUUUGCAGCUCUGACACGUUUUUAAGGUCGCCAAAGGCCAGUUUUUCUUCUUCGUCAACAUCUUCUGAAAGGAACACCACUUUACGCUAACUAUAGGCCGUAUAAAAGUACACUCGUACUAUUGCAAGCACACUGAGCGUAUCUACCUAAAAUCUAGCCGAGGAACCCAUCCUUCAAUUAAUCACUGAUUAUGAGCAGUCGCAAUCCCCGUAAACAGAAAAGCAUGUGGAUCCUGAACUGGUAAAGGAGACCCGAAAGCGUAUAUCUCUACUGUCUGUGUGUGACAUAUCCUCUAAUGGUGAUUCAUCCGACCAUCGAUAGGCUGGAGCUACACCAGAAUCGAUGCCAUUACCAGACCACGUUCUUCUUAAUGGCAGUGGUCGUUGCAACAGCACAGCGAACUCGUUCUAAUACUUUCGCUGUACAAUAAAUGAAUGAAUCGAUCUCCCAGCUGACGCGUAGCUGUUCAUCUUUGUGCUGCCGUAACUUUUUAGCCCCCGAACG